UGGCAAUAUCACGUUAAAACACCAGUCGCCGUCCGAUUACCGAAGUUAAGCAACAUCGAGCCUGGUCAUUACUUAGAUAGGUAACCGUUCGGGAAUAUCAGGUUCUGUAAG